CGUAAGCCAGGUCGGUUUCUAUCUUUAUUUAAUUUAAAUAUUUUAGUACGAAAGGACCAGGUAUUUAAUAUAUUUAUAUUUUUAUUUUUGAAUAUUAUUA
rnacentral:rRNA from 2 species